rnacentral:tRNA from 1 species
GGGCCUGUAGCUCAGCUGGGAGAGCGCAUCGUUCGCAACGAUGAGGUCACCGGUUCGAUCCCGGUCAGGUCCACCA